rnacentral:rRNA from 1 species
UACGUAGGGUGCAAGCGUUAAUCGGAAUUACUGGGCGUAAAGCGUGCGCAGGCGGUUUUGUAAGACUGUCGUGAAAUCCCCGGGCUUAACCUGGGAACUGCAUUUGUGACUGGCAGGCUAGAGUAUGGCAGAGGGGGGGUAGAAUUCCACGUGUAGCAGUGAAAUGCGUAGAGAUGUGGAGGAAUACCGAUGGCGAAGGCAGCCCCCUGGGCCAAUACUGACGCUCAUGCACGAAAGCGUGGGGAGCAAACAGG